GAGAACGGUGGCCUGAGCAGAGGCCAACUUAGCGGUGGACGGAAGGCCAGUGCCGCGUGUACGUGCAGAGGUCCCACCAUCGGCCCAAUGCUACAGGCAAGCCAGACUGAGAGAGAAAUGUAGAGGGGGGAGGUAACUGGGUCAAGCCAUGAAACUGGGUCAAUAUGCUUGUGAAGAGGACCUCGACGGUGCACGAGUCUUUGGUAAUAUGAAACCACCCCCAUAGCCCGCACACAUCGAUACCUGGAGCCCCAUCGAGCGAGGAUUCCUCGUGGCUUCUUAUGGAAAGCUUAGAGUUUUUUCUGUGUUCUCGAUUAUUCUCUCAUUUGCUUGGGCUUCUUCCUCGUCACUCCUGCUGGAUUGGACUUUUGUUUCGCUCGCUUUUUUACGUUCAUUUUUUACACAUGUAGAAAGCUUCCUCCGAGAUUUUCCUUUUAUCCGCAUGUAUCUUCGCUCCUCGAUGGAGAGAGGAAAUUCUCUUUGCCUUAUACUUGAUAAAACUCUGUACAAGCUCCGGCAAAGAGACAUGUGCAUCAUCGGAUAGCAAGGUCCACAGACGCGGUAUUACUGGCAAACGUAUAUAGCCGGGGAAAGCUCUUAAAGGUUCGAGAAAAUGCUCCUUUCACGAUCGUCACUGUGUCUUCCGAUUUAACUCUAUUUUCUUUUCCUCUCAACUCCACCACUUUUUCUCACUCCGGGAUACUUUACGCUCCGAGUAAAUUGACGGUAUUUUCUCUUUUGACGUAUACAUCGAGCCACUCUCUGCGACAAAUUUACUCACUCUGUUUAUUAACACCACCUUUUUGGGACUGUUCUUAGCUCGGUUUUUUAUUCGAGCGAUAAACGAGGGGCUAGCACGGAGAAAAAUGCUGAAACAACAGUCUUUCGCUCGCGAUGGUUAAACGCUCGAAAAAUUGAGGUUUUGUGGCUCGAGUUCCGACGUUCCGACUAGUUGAAAUUAUUUGUUAAGAGAUCUCAAAUGCACGGACAUCAUUAAACGACUUUCGGUAUCGCGUGCUGAGAAACAUUUGAACAAUCGUUCAACGUUUGUCAACGAAACUAAAUGACGUUUGAUAUUCUCUCUGCGUCCACUUCGAACUACGCGUUUGCCAGCUAUAUUGUAUACUAGAAAACAGAGAAACGAUUUAAUGGAGCAUCCAGCGGAGCGUACGCUCGAUAUUGACAGGUAUGAAACAGGACACAGCUACACCGCACCGCUGUUUAGCGCGGUGAAUGAGGCGUGCUUUUUCGUGCCCCACAUUAUUCUGUUUACAGGCAUAAAGCGUUUGAUAAAUAUGGGAGACAAAUGACACUGUACGGAGAGUAUGAAUCUUGCACCAGAGGUUGCUCAAAUAUCAUCAACGUUCGUACUCCGUUGUGUGCUUCGAUGGAAAAAAGAGAAAAGUAGAGAGAAAGCUCAGGGGGGAGAAUUAAUGUAAGAACAUUUGCCAGGCCAUGAGGACGUUCGAUCGACCCUCGCGUGGGAGAGCCUCGGUCUCCCUGUGGCGGUGUUUUCCUCCAGGGAACAUUGUUGGCUUUCCCCGAAAUUCUCCAACACCGGCGCACACUCGCUUCUGUGCGUAACGAGUUUUUGCGCCAGCCAAGUCACAAAGUUCCACGUCCACAGAGUAAACGCGUUCGUUGCUAUUGAUGCGGCGAGCAGCGUAAACUCUUGGACGAAGGGACGACGGGGAUAAUGAAAACAGAGCGGAGGGACGAGACUUCCACUCCAUAUUGGACUCUGCUAAUAUUUAUCCGAGAGCGUGAACGGAGACGAGGUAACUGCGAGGGAAAAUAAAAGAGAUGUUGUCAAUGGAGGAGCCAGUGUAAAAACCUAUUUAAGCUCACUCCCGCUCGGCCAUUGCGAAUAUCCGAACAACCUUUUCUCAUCCCCGAUGGGAUUCCUUCUGUAUACAUUCCAGCUCCAUCAUCUGACCGGAAUUUCAUUGAUGUUGUUUCCCCACUGACACGAUGCUUGGUCGAGUCCUUCCUCUCCGUUCCUGGCUCCCGUGAACCCAUAUGAACCCACGAACACAGCCGAAAGACUCUUCGUCGAGGUCGUUGCCGUCGGGCCCACUUCGGAACCUCGGUCAGACUCGUUCCCUCGAUUUCGAGACGUUCUCUACAUCCAAGCAGCCACUGAAUCUCGAAUCAGUUGGAAUAACGCGUCGAGCGCGACGACCAGAGACAGUCACCUCGAUCCGAGUCGACACGUGCGACCACGUACCUGAGAUUCAACGCAAUACGCAUUCAUGGACAUUUACAUGCGCACAGUUUAUUGUCAUGAGCCACACCUGGAACUCGUCCUCCGCGUUACGAGCCUACCUGCAAGCCCAACACGCGUGCUCGCAUUAAACCGCAUUUGUGAAUCCAGAACGAAGAGAGCCGAACGCACGAAGGCAAGAGGAAGGCUUCUGACGCUCAAACUCUGCAGCAACGUCAACUUCGUAACGAUGCUCCCAACACACCGAAACUCCGAACUUAAUAACUCUAAGCAAUUCACGUGCAAAAUAGUACGCAAGUUAUACGUGUGCAAUAAUGUCAUAAGCAAUGGAGCAUCCCGAUGACGACGUUAUACGAGGCCCCUUUUGACAGGCUCGCAGUGAAUUCUCUGACCACCAGCUACAACCACUAUAUCGGAAGCUGGCGCGGGAGCUCGCACCCAUUAUUCCCGAUCGAGAGAAACGUACACACACGCGUCCACACACGCACGCAAGUCCCGAUUUUCCGGACUCCUCGCACAUGCGGAACUCACUGUGAAAGCUCGGCAAUGCAAUUGGAACGGAGUCGCCAAUUGUCCAUGGGUAUUUCCAGUUAAUAUCAUUCCCAUACAAACCACUGGACCGGAGCGAACCACCGGAGAUUAAAUCUUUAGUGCUGAGGAACCAGACGUACGUCGGAGCCUUGAUACCUAAUGGAUUCCCUCAGUAACGUCGUUCAUCACGAUUAUGCAAUCAACGCAACACACAUGCGGAUAAUUUGAUUUGAAAAAUCACGGGCAAACUACCAACGUGGAAUUGCAGCCUCAAAGUCCGAGGAAUGGACGCACUUGGUAACCGAUUCUUCAAGAGUGCGUGGGAGAGCGAAAAACCCGAAGAGAAUCGAACGUGCGAAGCAACCGAUUCCGGUUCCCAUGUGUGGCAAAGUGUUCGGAUGCCGUAACGUUUUCGUUGGAGGUUUAAAUCUCGAUACAUCACGCACGAGUUUUCGUAGAGCCUCAUAAAAAUUCCUCGCAACAGGAAAAAGGGGUGAAAGUUUUUCGUGUGCCUCGAGAAAAAUGGAGCGAAAGUUCGACCGAAUGAUCAUGAUUAUCGAGCAUUUUGCCUUCCGCACCGGUCUCCCUUAAAGGAUAUUCAAAUCCGUAGCACGUUCAUGAUGUUUUCGUGGCUCAGUAUAAUUUGCCUGUUUACGUAAAUUCGUUUUACUCGUCAAGAACAAGUUUGCCAACACAUUUGCAAGUUUCGCUUCGUACACAAGGAUCAUCGUUAUUUACUCGUACAAUGCUCACAACUUUAAGAAAGUUUCUUGUGCACGAGCAGUUCUCAGUGUGUCGGGAAACUGGAUGAUAGUAUAUGCUCGAGACAAGUUAUAGGACCUCUAAUGAACCACGUUAAUAUACGAAUAACAAAGUAGGCGAGAGCAGCGGGAAGAGG
rnacentral:lncRNA from 1 species